GUGGCAGGUGCUUGUAUUCUCAGCUACUUGGGAGGCUGAGGCAGGAGAAAUGCUUGAACCCAGGAGACAGAGAUUGUAGUGAGCUGAGAUUGCACCACUGCACUCCAGUCUGGUGACAGAGCAAGACUCUGUCUCAAACAAAAAGAAGAACUCGAACUGGAGCUUCCCGGAAGGUCAGCUGGGGUUAGGGCUGCAGGGGCAUGAGCCUGUCAGAGAAUAGAGACUGCUGCCAAGAGGGGAGCUGGCAUAGGGAGGCAGGGUGGGAGCGUGACUGGGCCUGCCAUCAGAGUGGCUGUGGCACUGGGCCGGAUGCAGGCCUGGAGCCAAGGGUGGAGACAGAGCUUUGCCCAAGCCUUUGUGAUGAAUCAGCGCAUUAGCUCAAGACAGGGGCAGGAAAGGAAGCAGGGUCUGUGUGUCUAAGACAGCCCUGAGUUAAUUAAGACAAAAAAUAACUGUGCUCUAUUCGUUUAUCCCUUUUAUCCUUUUUUCUUUUCAUGCUUGGGCUUUAGGUUUCCAUCUGUGGCCUCUACUUCUUUUAGAUCUAGGUUAAAAUGGACAAAACCCUUUUGUUUUCAUAGUGCCUGGUGGCUUAAAGCUGUCCCUAAGAUGUCUGCAAGUCUCCAGGCGAAGAAGGAAGUGCUGGUGGAGGAGGCUGUGGUUGUCUUUCAGACACGCUUUGAUGUCUUCUCUCUGAAGAUUCUUUCUGCUGGUCUGCUUUGGGCAUGGCUUGAUCCAGCUGUAAAACUUAGCCUCUUGCUUGAUUUCUAUGUACACUGGAAUCAUGGAAUUUCUGUAGCUGUUCCCACAUCAGGCGCACAGCGGCACUUAGAAGACAUCAGCUGGAUGGGUAAAUGAGUGAGUGAUAGUCCGA
rnacentral:lncRNA from 1 species